rnacentral:rRNA from 1 species
CCUACGGGAGGCAGCAGUGGGGAAUAUUGCGCAAUGGGCGAAAGCCUGACGCAGCGACGCCGCGUGAGGGAUGAAGGUCUUCGGAUCGUAAACCUCUGUCAGCAGGGACGAAGCAAGUGACGGUACCGGAUGAAGAAGCCACGGCUAACUACGUGCCAGAAGCCGCGGUAAUACGUAGGUGGCAAGCGUUAUCCGGAUUUACUGGGUGUAAAGGGCGUGGAGGCGGGAGUGCAAGUCAGAUGUGAAAACUAUGGGCUCAACCCAUAGCCUGCAUUUGAAACUGUACUUCUUGAGUGCUGGAGAGGCAAUCGGAAUUCCGUGUGUAGCGGUGAAAUGCGUAGAUAUACGGAGGAACACCAGUGGCGAAGGCGGAUUGCUGGACAGUAACUGACGCUGAGGCGCGAAAGCGUGGGGAGCAAACAGGAUUAGAUACCCCUGUAGUC